rnacentral:tRNA from 1 species
GUGGGUAUAGCUCAGUGGUAGAGUGCAUACUUAGCAUACAUGAGGUCCUGGGUUCAAUCCCCAGUGCCUCCA